rnacentral:rRNA from 1 species
CAAUAGCGUAUAUUAAAGCUGUUGCGGUUAAAAAGCUCGUAGUUGGAUUUCUGACAAGGACAACUGGUCCGCCCUCCGGGUGAGCACAUAGUUUGGUCUUGGCAUCUUGCUGGAAACUGUUGCUGCGCUUGGUUGUGUGGUGCAGCUUUCAGCACUUUCACUUUGAGGAAAUUGGAGUGUUUCAAGCAGGCACAUGCCUUUGGACACAGUAGCAUGGAAUAAUUAGAUUGGGCUUUUGCUCCAACUUGUUGGUUCCUGGAGCUGAGGUGAGAAUCAAUGGGGAUUGUUGGGGGCAUCCGAAUUUAGCCGUCAGAGGUGAAAUUCUUGGAUCUGCUAAAGACGGACAACUGCGAAAGCGUUUGCCCAGGAUGUUUUCAUUGA